rnacentral:rRNA from 1 species
AUUGAACGCUGGCGGCAGGCCUAACACAUGCAAGUCGAGCGGAUGAAGGGAGCUUGCUCCUGGAUUCAGCGGCGGACGGGUGAGUAAUGCCUAGGAAUCUGCCUGGUAGUGGGGGAUAACGUCCGGAAACGGGCGCUAAUACCGCAUACGUCCUGAGGGAGAAAGAGGGGGAGCUUCGGACCUCACGCUAUCAGAUGAGCCUAGGUCGGAUUAGCUAGUUGGUGGGGUAAGGGCCUACCAAGGCGACGAUCCGUAACUGGUCUGAGAGGAUGAUCAGUCACACUGGAACUGAGACACGGUCCAGACUCCUACGGGAGGCAGCAGUGGGGAAUAUUGGACAAUGGGCGAAAGCCUGAUCCAGCCAUGCCGCGUGUGUGAAGAAGGUCUUCGGAUUGUAAAGCACUUUAAGUUGGGAGGAAGGGCAGUAAGUUAAUACCUUGCUGUUUUGACGUUACCAACAGAAUAAGCACCGGCUAACUUCGUG